UACGUAGGUGGCAAGCGUUGUCCGGAUUUAUUGGGCGUAAAGCGAGCGCAGGUGGUCUUUUAAGUCUGAUGUGAAAGCCCUCGGCUCAACCGAGGAAGGUCAUUGGAAACUGGAGGACUUGAGUGCAGAAGAGGAGAGUGGAAUUCCAUGUGUAGCGGUGAAAUGCGUAGAUAUAUGGAGGAACACCAGUGGCGAAGGCGACUCUCUGGUCUGUAACUGACACUGAGGCUCGAAAGCGUGGGGAGCAAAC
rnacentral:rRNA from 1 species